CCCUGCCGAAGGACCCUAAUAUGCUGAAUAGCUAGGUGGUUGGAUUUUGUCGGUCCCCAAGUCUGCACCAGUAACGCUAGCUUGGUGUGCAAUGACCGGUUGUGGCCUUUCCGGUCAACACCACCUCAUAAGAUGAGGAAGCACAUUGUUUAUGAGGAUUGCCUGCUGCAGUUGUUCAAGAGAUGUCCAGUUUGCAACCGAACAUGCAACAUAGAGAAGACCAGCAAGGGGACCCUCAGCAUCACGCAGACAUGCCUUCACUGUGACCAUUCCUAUAAAUGGACAGGGAGGACACUUGAAUCAGACCAGUAUCUUUGAUGAGGGGACCAGGAGCUGAUCAUUGCUGCCAUGCCCAUUAAUGGGGCGCUGGCAAAGACCUUACCUCCAGCCUCACCUCUUGCCUGCUCACCAAUGGUCGUCAAUGGGGACACUAGAAUUAGAUGUAUCUAUGGAGCCAGCACCUGGAGACUUGCAAGAUGAUGUGAUGGAGUGCUGACCGACAGACUUGAUACUGACGUCGCUGAAUGGAGAGAGACCUGGCACUCAACACAUCCACAAUGUGGGACUGAAGGGGAUUACAAAUAACACAGUACAGCAGAAAUGUCCAGUAUUUGCAACACCCUUUUCAUUCCAUGUGUCACUGAUGAACUCGUUUCUACAGGUGGAGAGGACUGUAGAUGCUUUUGCCAGACGCCAGCCUUGGUCAUUUGAUGGGGAGACCAUAAUUGGAAACAUGAAUGGAGCCAGCACAUGGAGACUUGCAAGAUG